rnacentral:misc_RNA from 1 species
UAAUAGAGUUUACUUAUAUGGCACUCUAAAAAAAAUCCAUAUCCACCUUGUGUGAAAUGUUAAAUCCUUGUCAUUUACUUGUCAAGGUUUUUUUUAUAUCAACUCUUUUUAUUAUUAUUUUUUUUUAAAACUGUCUGAAAAAUCGUUAUGAAUUUACUUAAUUCAAAACA